AGAGUUUGAUCCUGGCUCAGAACGAACGCUGGCGGCGUGGAUAAGACAUGCAAGUCGGACGAGAUUUUUCGUUGUAGCAAUACGAUGAAAAGUCUAGUGGCGAACGGGUGCUUAACACGUGGGCAAUCUGUCUUAAAGUGGGGGAUAGCUCGGCGAAAGCCGAAUUAAUACCGCAUGUGAUUAGAGUGGACAUCCAUUCGAAAUUAAAGGUGGCGCAAGCUACCGCUUUUUGAGGAGCCCGCGGCCUAUCAGCUUGUUGGUGAGGUAACGGCUCACCAAGGCUUUGACGGGUAGCUGGUCUGAGAGGACGACCAGCCACACUGGGACUGAGACACGGCCCAGACACCUACGGGUGGCAGCAGUCGAGAAUUUUUCUCAAUGGGGGAAACCCUGAAGGAGCGACGCCGCGUGGAGGAUGAAGGUCUUCGGAUUGUAAACUCCUGUCAUUGGGGAACAAGUCGCUUACGUUAACUGCGUGAGCGUUGAUAGUACCCGAAGAGGAAGAGACGGCUAACUCUGUGCCAGCAGCCGCGGUAAUACAGAGGUCUCAAGCGUUGUUCGGAUUCAUUGGGCGUAAAGGGUGCGUAGGCGGCGCGGUAAGUCGGGUGUGAAAUCUCGGAGCUUAACUCCGAAACUGCAUUCGAUACUGCCGUGCUUGAGGACUGGAGAGGAGACUGGAAUUUACGGUGUAGCGGUGAAAUGCGUAGAUAUCGUAAGGAAGACCAGUGGCGAAGGCGGGUCUCUGGACAGUUCCUGACGCUGAGGCACGAAGGUCAGGGGAGCAAACGGGAUUAGAUACCCUAGUAGUCC
rnacentral:rRNA from 1 species